rnacentral:rRNA from 1 species
AAUCAAGCGCAAAAGGGCAUUUAGUGGAUGCCUUGGCAUCAAGAGGCGAUGAAGGACGCGGCAGGCUGCGAUAAUCUAAGGGGAGUUGUCAACACACUUUGAUCCUUAGGUCUCCGAAUGGGGAAACCCGACUCUUUAGAGUCACUUAUUCAUGAAUACAUAGUGUAUAAGAGUUAACCUAGUGAAUUGAAAUAUCUUAGUAGCUAGAGGAAAAGAAAUCUAUUCCGUUAGUAGUGACGAGCGAACGCGGACCAGGCCAGUAGCAAAAAUAUAAUAACUAGAACUUUCUGGAAAGUUAGACCAAAGUGGGUGAUAGUCCCGUAUAGGUAAAAAGUAUUUUUGUUCUCGAGUAGGGCGGAACACGUGAAAUUUUGUCUGAAUAUGGGGAGACCACUUCCCAA